ACUCCUGCGGGAGGCAGCAGUGGGGAAUUUUGGACAAUGGGCGAAAGCCUGAUCCAGCAAUGCCGCGUGAGUGAAGAAGGCCUUCGGGUUGUAAAGCUCUUUUGUCAGGGAAGAAACGGUGAGAGCUAAUAUCUUUUGCUAAUGACGGUACCUGAAGAAUAAGCACCGGCUAACUACGUGCCAGCAGCCGCGGUAAUACGUAGGGUGCAAGCGUUAAUCGGAAUUACUGGGCGUAAAGCGUGCGCAGGCGGUUUUGUAAGUCUGAUGUGAAAUCCCCGGGCUCAACCUGGGAAUUGCAUUGGAGACUGCAAGGCUAGAAUCUGGCAGAGGGGGGUAGAAUUCCACGUGUAGCAGUGAAAUGCGUAGAUAUGUGGAGGAACACCGAUGGCGAAGGCAGCCCCCUGGGUCAAGAUUGACGCUCAUGCACGAAAGCGUGGGGAGCAAACAGGAUUAGAAACCCGAGUAGUCCC
rnacentral:rRNA from 1 species